AUAUAGCUCAGUUGGUAAGAGUGUUUGCUUUGUGCACAGGAAGCCCUGGGUUCGAUUCCCAGCAU
rfam:Mesocricetus auratus contig174024, whole genome shotgun sequence.